GUGGAGAGACUGGAAGACACGAUAUACAUGGCUGUUUGUUAAGGAUGGAAGCUUGGGGUGCGUCGCUUAGGCCUAAUUGAACGGAGGAAUUAUGGUAUUCUUCGGUAGCCUGAGUAAUUCUAACCGUUGUUGAUGUGAAAUCUCAAAGACAGCUUGAUGCUUUGUUUAUAGAC